CCAAUAGCGUAUAUUAAAGUUGUUGCAGUUAAAAAGCUCGUAGUUGAAUUUCGAGAUCAAUUUGUUGGUCGUGCCUCGGUACGUACUGGCAAUUUUGAUUUCUCCCUUCUGAAGAACCAUGAUGUCAUUAAUUUGGUGUCAUGGGGAAUCAGGACUGUUACUUUGAAAAAAUUAGAGUGUUUAAAGCAGGCUCGCGCUUG
rnacentral:rRNA from 1 species